rnacentral:rRNA from 1 species
GUCAACGGCGAGAGAGGAGCGGGGGUAGUAGGGGGGUGGCGUGCUGUGUUCGGAAUUACUGGGCGUAAGGGGCACGUAGGCGGUGUUGUAAGUUAGAGGGGAAAGCCCGGGGCUCAACUCCGGAAUUGCCUUUAAGACUGCAUCGCUAGAAUUGUGGAGAGGGAAGUGGAAUGCCGAGUGUAGAGGUGAAAUUCGUAGAUAUUCGGAAGAACACCAGUGGCGAAGGCGACUUACUGGACACAUAUUGACGCUGAGGUGCGAAAGCGUGGGGAGCAAACAGGAUUAGAUACCCCGGUAGUC